AGGAUGAACGCUGGCGGCGUGCCUAACACAUGCAAGUCGCACGAGAAAGUAGACUUCGGUCUGCGAGUAAAGUGGCGCACGGGUGAGUAACACGUGAAUAAUCUACCUCCGAGUGGGGAAUAACUUCGGGAAACCGAGGCUAAUACCGCAUAACACUUACGAGUCAAAGCAGCAAUGCGCUUGGAGAGGAGUUCGCGGCAGAUUAGUUAGUUGGCGGGGUAAUGGCCCACCAAGACGAUGAUCUGUAUCCGGCCUGAGAGGGCGCGCGGACACACUGGAACUGAAACACGGUCCAGACUCCUACGGGAGGCAGCAGUGGGGAAUUUUGCGCAAUGGGGGAAACCCUGACGCAGCAACGCCGCGUGGAGGAAGAAAUAUCUUGGUAUGUAAACUCCUUUCGAUCGGGACGAUAAUGACGGUACCGAGAGAAGAAGCCCCGGCUAACUCGUGCCAGCAGCCGC
rnacentral:rRNA from 1 species